AGCGAACGCUGGCGGCAGGCCUAACACAUGCAAGUCGAACGAAGUCUUCGGACUCAGUGGCGGACGGGUGAGUAACACGUGGGAACGUACCUUUUGGUUCGGAACAACUCAGGGAAACUUGAGCUAAUACCGGAUGAGCCCUUAGGGGGAAAGAUUUAUCGCCGAAAGAGCGGCCCGCGUUAGAUUAGCUAGUUGGUGAGGUAAAGGCUCACCAAGGCUACGAUCUAUAGCUGGUCUGAGAGGAUGAUCAGCCACACUGGGACUGAGACACGGCCCAGACUCCUACGGGAGGCAGCAGUGGGGAAUCUUGCGCAAUGGGCGAAAGCCUGACGCAGCCAUGCCGCGUGAAUGAUGAAGGUCUUAGGAUUGUAAAAUUCUUUUACCAGGGACGAUAAUGACGGUACCUGGAGAAAAAGCCUCGGCUAACUUCGUGCCAGCCGCCGCGGUAAAAC
rnacentral:rRNA from 1 species